UCACAGAACUUCUGUCAUCAAAGCAGGAGCUGAGAGGACCGAGAGGACUGGUUGUGCCUCCCCUGCUCUCUCAUUCUUUGUGUACUGGUAGAAUCUGGAGACACAAUGCAGGCAAGUGUCUGUGUAAUUUAUGCUCCUUUAUGUCCCUGCAGACUCUCAAAAGAAGCAGUCACAAUAUAAUCCUCUGUUAAAAUGCCAUCUUGGAGAUAUUUUUUGAGAGUUCUCAUGUGCUGCUGUGUCACUUGAUUUAAUUCUACCACCAAUUCAAAUGGGGUGCUGGGCUGCUUUCCUGUCUCUGGAUUUUAAAUCCUCUUUGGAUCCUGCUGAAAUAAUCUCUGCCAGAGACAACUUAUCACUAGGUAUUACUGAAAUGCUCCCAAGGAGCACAUUUAUUUCUUUCUUAUUCUUGGCCUAGACCAGGUCACAAGAAAUGGGAGGAAUUUAAAAAGAAAUUCACAGGAGUGGAUGCCAAAAUACUCCUCCUUUUUCCCCACAAUCUCAUCUUCCCCAGGUUUAGGGGGUGCAAGCUAAGCAUGGCUUGCUUACCUGUAUCCAUGGUCUGUUUUCCAGGAACAAAACAUGAAGUGAUGUGCUUUGUGCAGUUCUUGAGACUCCAGAAUUUGACUAUCAAGGGGCAGGAAAAUGUGCCAAACUUCCACUAUUCUAGGCACCAGCUGGUGAACUCCCCCUGCCUGGAGCAGUUGAGGCUCCAGUCCAAGGAUCUGACCCUUGCACAGGGAGUUGCUGCCCCUUCCAGAACUCCAUGGAAAGCAGUAGGAAACUGUGGUUGUAAAGGUUUGUUGUCACUUCUGAUCUUAGACUUGCAUUUCAAAUAAUCUAAACCCAUGUCAGGCUGUUUAGGAAAUUAGCAUUAUUUCCACAAGAAACUGAAAGUGAUGCAUGCACCCAAUUCAAAAUGGCAGGGGAAAAGGAGUUGCUAACUGUUUUAAAGAAAUGUAACCAAAAAAAUAUCGUAGUCUUGAUUUUUCUGUGGUGUUCCUGUUCUUCCCCAAUAUAUAAACUAAGCCUUAAUGUACAGAUAAUAGAUUCU
rnacentral:lncRNA from 1 species